rnacentral:rRNA from 1 species
GACGAACGCUGGCGGCGUGCUUAACACAUGCAAGUCGAACGGAGAGGCCCUGCUUUUGUGGGUUGCUCGAGUGGCGAACGGGUGAGUAACACGUGAGUAACCUGCCCUUGACUUUGGGAUAACUUCGGGAAACUGGGGCUAAUACCGGAUAGGAGCUCCUGCUGCAUGGUGGGGGUUGGAAAGUUUCGGCGGUUGGGGAUGGACUCGCGGCUUAUCAGCUUGUUGGUGGGGUAGUGGCUUACCAAGGCUUUGACGGGUAGCCGGCCUGAGAGGGUGACCGGCCACACUGGGACUGAGACACGGCCCAGACUCCUACGGGAGGCAGCAGUGGGGAAUAUUGCACAAUGGGCGGAAGCCUGAUGCAGCAACGCCGCGUGCGGGAUGACGGCCUUCGGGUUGUAAACCGCUUUCGGCUGUGACGAAGCGUGAGUGACGGUAAUGGGUAAAGAAGCACCGGCUAACUACGUG